UGCCAUGUAGCUCAAUUGGUAGAGCACCUGGUUAUCAUACGUCUGGUAUCUGGGAAUGCGAGUUCAACUCUUGCCAUGGUCA